UUGCAGGCUGCAACUCGCCUGCAUGAAGUCGGAAUUGCUAGUAAUCGCGGAUCAGCAUGCCGCGGUGAAUACGUUCUCGGGCCUUGUACACACCGCCCGUCACACCAUGGGAGUCGGUAACACCCGAAGUCUGUAGCCUGACGCAAGAGGGCGCAGCCGAAGGUGGGAUUGAUGACUGGGGUGAAGUCGUAACAAGGUAUC
rnacentral:rRNA from 1 species